rnacentral:lncRNA from 1 species
CAUGCCGGUCGACUACCGAGAAAAGGGGCUUCAGUUGUAGGAACGCACCUGCUGCCACCCUGGGGCCUAUAGGGGACUGUAGAGAAAAACCUGCCAUCCCAACCCUUUCAUGACCCCUCUUCCACGCCUUCGGGGCGGGAGGUGGGGCCAGGGGCGAUGGUGAAGUUCAGGGUCAGCCGAUGCGGCUGGUGGAGUCCCCAGGCUCGCGCGCUGGUGGUAGUUGAGCAAUCUGCGCAGCGCCUGCCAAACCCUGUCUUGGCUCCCAGCCUCGCGCGGCCCUGCAAAUACCUGCUCCCGCGGCGCCGGGAGUCUGUAACCCUCGGCCCUUUUCUGACCGCCCCCAGCUUCAGCUGAACGCACUCUUGUUUUCCAACGCUCGGCUGCGCAGUGGCAUCACCCGGAAGCUGUUAAAAAAUAACUACUGCUGAUCGUGAUUCCAGUGUGCAGCCAAAAUAGAGGAACACUGCGCCAAAUCUGCCAGUGGAAGGAGCCUGUGAGGGAGUAGGGAGCAGACAAGAGGGAGGCCCCGAGAGACAGCGCACUAGAAACGUGUGGUUUUAUCUCAUGCACGACUUCCAUGGCCAACAUUUACUCCACUGAGAGCUUCUAACUCCACUCCGCCCUCGUGGGUGGAGCAGCGUUGCACCCAGGCUGGCUCACCUUAUGGUCCCAGCAUGGCCACAGAAGCUCUAGGACUCAAACCCGACUCAGCAAGGUGAAGAGGAAGAGGGAAUGUCUCUUCACUGCUUACUUAGGAGCAGUAAACAGUUCUCAAAAUCCACCCUGCAGGGUGACCCUCACAUCACAGUGGCUCCAGCUGUGUCACAUUUCCCAUUUCUAAUCCAAACACUGGCGAAGGGGUUACCCUGUUUGGUGUUGGUUACUCAGGAUCCUCCUCUUGGAGCUGGAAAUAAGGCAUUUGUCAAGAUCCUGGGGACGUGUCACAGUGCUAAGAUGCUGGGAGAGAGACCCACCUGGUCUUCAGUCAUCCAUCCACACUUGUGGCUGCUGACAAACUGCCGUUUCUAUCUGUGUUUCCCCUUCAGCCCCAUGGAUUCCUCUCUCGCCUCAGAACACAGAAUCUGGAAGAAUCUAUACAGAUAACUACUCUUCUACUUCCAGAGGCAGCUACAUAAUUUACAGGAAAAAAAUGUCCAUUAAAGGUCCUAAAUAUACAGCUUUUUCCUUUUUUUCUGCUCUCUCAACUUGCCAUAGUG